ensembl:lncRNA
CCAAGAUGUUCAAAUGUUCAUAAAUGACCAGCAUGGUCGAAUAAUAAUAAGGCAGAACAGUUGAAACUGGAGCAGCAGCACAGUCAGGUGGAAGUUGAAACUGGAGCAGCAGCAUGGCCAGGUGGACUGGGGACAGCAAGGAGUCAUCAUGUCAGGUAGUCCUGGGGCAUGGUCCUAGGGCUCAGGUCAGUUGAAACUGGAACAGCAGCAUGGCCAGGUGGACUGGGGACAGCAAGGAGUCAUCAUGUCAGGUAGUCCUGGAGCUCAGGUCCUCCGAGAGAGAGAAAGAAAGAGAGAAGGAGAGAAUUAGAGAACGCACACUUAGAUUCACACAGGACACCGAAUAGGACAGGAGAAGUACUCA